rnacentral:rRNA from 1 species
AACGAACGCUGGCGGCAUGCCUAACACAUGCAAGUCGAACGAGAUCUUCGGGUCUAGUGGCGCACGGGUGCGUAACGCGUGGGAAUCUGCCCUUUGGUUCGGAAUAACAGUUGGAAACGACUGCUAAUACCGGAUGAUGACGAAAGUCCAAAGAUUUAUCGCCAGAGGAUGAGCCCGCGUAGGAUUAGCUAGUUGGUGUGGUAAAGGCGCGCCAAGGCGACGAUCCUUAGCUGGUCUGAGAGGAUGAACAGCCACACUGGGACUGAGACACGGCCCAGACUCCGACGGGAGGCAGCAGUGGGGAAUAUUGUACAAUGGGCGAGAGCCUGAUCCAGCAAUGCCGCGUGAGUGAUGAAGGCCUUAGGGUUGUAAGGCUCUUUUACCCGGGAUGAUAAUGGCAGUACCGGUAGAAUAAGCCCCGGCUAACUCCGUGCCAGCCGCCGCCGUAA